GUGACAUCACGUAUUUGUUCCUUUGCUCCACUCUUACCAACCUUUGCUCUGAUUUGUGCCAUGAGGACUAGAAACCUGGAAACCUACGUUUCCCAGCUACUCCAUCUCCCCACACCGCAGGCUUUCUGUUAUGUUCUGAUGAUGAGACUCUGGGAUAGACCAUGGGAGUGAAAGUCAGGAGAGAUGCACUUACCGGGAUUAUAGUUUACAUCGAUUCAAAAAUGAAGGAGGAAGUAAAAGACAACCAAUCCCCAGAGUAUAAAGCUGUUUCCUAGACAACCUUCACCCUUCACCCACUGUGAAAUAUCCACCAAUGAUUAUCGUCCACAUGCAGAUUCCUGUGGUAUGUCAUUUUCCAUGGCAGCAGUUGAAAGUCAAAUGCCAGAAGAUUGCGGGUAGGAGGCAGGAAUAGCUUACAGCUCUCACUCAGAUGGAUGGAGCAGCACGUGGAGACUCAUGUUAUCAACUUUUGCUCCAAGAACUACUGCAGGAACAUAUCAGGAAAGCCAAGAGAAUCCACAGACCCUUUGAAGGAACUGUACCACCCCUGCAGACUCCCUGAGAUGCCAAAAACUGUGAAUCUGCUUGCUUUCUCAACUGGGAGGCUCAUGGUCUGGGGUAAGUUCUCUUCCCUGGUGACUGGCUGCCUGGAAAUAGACUCGGUGCUGUUGGGGGGGCCAUGGUGAGAGUGAGAUUGGCCUUUAGGACUGUGGGAUGAAUGGCAGCAGGGUGAAGCCUGUAACUUCUGGUUUUCCCCCACUUCCCCGGUGACUUGUAUGACUCAGUAGAGGCAGCCACAAUCUCCCUGGGAAUAUAACUCCAUUGGGCUAGGAACCACACCCCCAUCCCCAACAGCAGCCUUAGCAAACCUCACUCAAGGAGAGGCUGAGGUCAGACACACCUAUCCCUGCCCCUACCUGGUAGUCUUUCUCUAUCCCCUCUGGUAGCUAAAGACAAAAGUUAUAAUCUCUUGGGGGCUCUGUGGCCCUGCCCACCACCUGAGAAACCUGAACAUUUAACCAGGUGUCCCUAGGGCAAGUUUGCAACCUCCCUAUGCAGGACUGUAGC
rnacentral:lncRNA from 10 species